rnacentral:rRNA from 1 species
UACGUAGGGUGCAAGCGUUUAAUCGGAAUUACUGGGCGUAAAGCGUGCGCAGGCGGUUUUGUAAGUUUGUCGUGAAAGCCCCGGGCUCAACCUGGGAAUUGCGAUGAAGACUGCAAGGCUUGAAUCUGGCAGAGGGGGGGUAGAAUUCCACGUGUAGCAGUGAAAUGCGUAGAGAUGUGGAGGAACACCGAUGGCGAAGGCAGCCCCCUGGGUCAAGAUUGACGCUCAUGCACGAAAGCGUGGGGAGCAAACAGGAUUAGAACCUACCGUAGGUCAGUCCAA